UCUUCCAUUCCUGUGUGUGCUGCAACCAACCAGUAUUCUAAUAGCCACAGUCACACCUAUGUUUGCUGCCACAUUCUCUCUAAUACAAUGGAUUGAAUGUUUAUUCUCUACACAUAAUUACUGAAUGAAUGGUAUCUAUUUUCAGUGGGUGAAUUGAUUAGAGAAGUUUCCAUCUAACAUUUAUUUUUGUAUAAUCAGA
rnacentral:lncRNA from 1 species